rnacentral:tRNA from 1 species
GCCGCCGUAGCACAGCUGGUAGAUAAAAUGGCCAAAUGCGCCGGACUCGUAAUCCGGUGGUCGCGGGUUCGAAUCCCGCCGGCGGCUCCA